CUGUAUCGUACAGCAGAUGGUGGUCAACACACGCUGUUAUCAGAUUCUUUUCGAUUUAGGGAGAAUCGUCCAGUACUUAUAUAUACCUACCUCUGUGUGGUUCCAGCCAUUCUGUAAUUAUUUUUAAAUUAAAUUAUUCAUAAACUGUAUUGUGUCUUAAGGCCUAAUUCCACGACGAGCGAAAUGCGAAAAAUUUUCGCGCGAAGACACACUUGUGUGAAAAUUUUCUC